rnacentral:rRNA from 1 species
UACGUAGGUGGCGAGCGUUAUCCGGAAUUAUUGGGCGUAAAGAGCGCGCAGGUGGUUGAUUAAGUCUGAUGUGAAAGCCCACGGCUUAACCGUGGAGGGUCAUUGGAAACUGGUCGACUUGAGUGCAGAAGAGGGAAGUGGAAUUCCAUGUGUAGCGGUGAAAUGCGUAGAGAUAUGGAGGAACACCAGUGGCGAAGGCGGCUUCCUGGUCUGUAACUGACGCUGAGGCGCGAAAGCGUGGGGAGCAAACAGGAUUAGAUA